rnacentral:lncRNA from 1 species
CAUUAUAAAAAGAAAAAUUAUUAAAAAGUGUUUUCAAAAUAUCAUUAUCAUUAUAUAAAUGUGUGGACAUGCAGCCUUAGUAACACAAGGCACAGAUACUUUGAAAUCCUAAUAGUUUCUCUAAGUUCCUAGUCAUGGCUUCCAAUGGAGAAAAUCUUGCUAAGAAAAACCAAGUGGUNGUGGUUCUGAUACCUUUCCCUGCACAAGGCCAUCUCAAUCAGCUUCUGCAUCUCUCAAACCUUAUCUCAUCACACAACAUACCAGUUCAUUAUGUUUCCACUGNCNNUCACAUUCGCCAAGCNACACUUNGNCANCACNANUCCAUUUCUAACAUUCAUUUCCAUGCCUUUGAUGUUCCAACCUUUGUUUCCCCUUCUCCCAACUCAAACACUUCAGAAACUGAUUUCCCAUCUCAUCUAAUUCCCUCCUUUGAGGCCUCCAUGCAUCUUCGAGAGCCUGUCAGGAAAAUGCUUCAAUCCCUCUCCUCGGAAGCCAAAAGGGUUAUAGUCAUCUAUGACUUCCUCAUGGGAUCAGUGGUACAAGAUGCCACAACCAUGCCAAAUACUGAGAAUUACACUUUUCACAGCACAUGUGCUUUUACCAACUUCCUUUACUUUUGGGAGGAAAUGGGGAAGCCUUCGCUUAAUGGAGUCCGUGUCCCGGAAUUUCCUUCUCUUGAAGGAUGUUUUCCCACCGAGUUCAUUGAUUUCAUUACUGAACAAGUUGAAUUACUCAAAAUCGGCGAUGGAAACAUCUACAACACAAGCAGGGCCAUUGAAGGUUCUUAUAUUAAGUUGCUGGAGGAUAUCGAAAGCGGCAAGAAGGUCUGGGCUCUUGGGCCUUUGAACCCUUUGGCCGUUGAGAAGGAAGAAUCUAAAGUAAGGCACCCAUGCUUGGAGUGGCUUGAUAAACAAGAACCAGAUUCAGUGAUAUACGUGUCUUUUGGGACAACAACAACUUUGAAAGUGGAACAGAUCCAUGAGGUUGCAACUGGGUUAGAACAAAGCAAGCAGAAGUUCAUCUGGGUGCUGAGAGAUGCUGAUAAAGGAGACAUCUUUGAUGAAAAUGAAGCAAAAAAACUUGAUCUUCCAAUUGGGUUCGAGGAGAGAGUGAACGGCUUGGGGGUGGUUGUGAGGGAUUGGGCACCCCAAUUGGAAAUUCUGAGCCACCCUUCAACAGGGGGUUUUAUGAGUCAUUGUGGAUGGAACUCGUGCUUAGAGAGCAUAUCCCUGGGGGUGCCAAUGGCAACAUGGCCUAUGCACUCUGACCAGCCGAGAAACGCAGUUUUUGUGACAGAGGUACUGAAGGUUGGAUUGGUUGUGAAAGAUUGGUCGCAGAGGAAGUCGUUGGUUAGUGCUUCAGUUGUUGAGAAUGGUGUGAGAAGGUUGAUGCAAACAAGGGAAGGUGAUGAGAUGAGAGAGAGAGCAGUGAAGCUGAAAAAGGCCUUCCAAAUAUCAAGGGAUGAAGGUGGAGAAAUGAAAUCUUUCAUUGCCCAUAUCACUAAAUAGUCUCCGAUGGGCUGAUAGUAGUAUGCUGUAGUUCCCAGUUGAAUAGGGUUAAACAUAGUUGGUAUGAAAGCUUUUCUGUUUGUUGAGACAUUGUCUGGCAACUUAUGGGAUGCAUUUGAUGCUAAUCUGCCAUUUUACAACACUUCUAUUUCGUUUCAAAAUGAAUUUUGCAGGAGUCCAGACAUAAGAAUAUGAUAAUAUAAUAUAAAAUAAAACAGAAUAAUAUGAUGGUUUCCUCCGUCGUUGCGUUUUCCAUUUGACGCUGUUCCCAACCACCGUUGCUCCUUGCCGCUGGGAUUUGGAGGGUCGUCGCCAUAGGUCCUUUUAGUCGUGGCUGCUCAGAAGCUCUCUCUACUCCGACGACAACAUGAAGUUCCUCUUCACUGCCUCGGUGUCUCCUGCGACUCCUUAUCCUCUCCAACCAGAUGUCCCACCAUGAGCCAUCGUGCGGCUCACAAGUUAGUCAUUUUUUUAUAGUUGUUAUAUAUUUUUACAACUUGUAAAUUUAAUAUUAAAAUUAAGAUUAAAUUUUAAAAUAUAAAAUUAUAAAAUUACAAAAUAUUAGAAUUAAAAAAUUCAUAAAUAUUAUGACAGAUCAUAAUUAGUAAACAUUUUUAAUUAACAAAAAUAUUUAAUAAUACUUAAUAUAUAUAUAUAUAUAUAUAUAUAUAUAUAUAUAUAUAUAUAUAUAUAUAUAUAUAUAUAUAUAUAUAAAAUUUUAUUAAAAUCUCAAUUAAACAUUUUCAAAUUUAUCAAAUACUUAAGCCUUGUUAUAAGCUAUUAUUCAUAUUUUUCACUAUCAAAUAACCCAUUCCCAAUAUGAUUUUAAGAUUGACAGUGGUCUACAAAACAAAAACUACAUUUUGUAGUUUUUAAAUACUAUUAAAAAGACUAAAAGCUAUCAUAUUUGUUCAAACCUAUAUAAAUAACUAUAUGUUGUUAUAGUGUCGGAAAUUGGGAAAUAAAAACAAAUUUAGAAGACAAAAGACAUAUAUUGAAUUAUUAAAAUAGAAAAGCAAAACUAGACUGGAUUUUAAAAUGUGAGAUAAAUAAGAAAAAUUAUUGCCAACUCAGGUUCAUAAAUAAAUAAAAAAGAUAGUUCCAGUUUUAUCCUUUGAAUUCAUUUUAAAUAUUGUUAAAAUAUCAUUAUCCUUUUACAAAAUAACAAUUGAGUAACUGAUAUUUAUAUUUAUUUAAGACAUAUUAAAAGAUAAAAUGAUUUAGUAAACUUUUCAAAAAGAUAUAAAAUAAAAAAUAAAGAAAGAUAGUAUCAAGUCAAAGUAAAAUUUUGAUGCGUCAAAAUAUUAUUUCUGUAAUUUCCUGUAGACACCUAAACAUCAUUCUACCCAACUACCCUGCCUCAUCUUUUGCUGAGUUUCGUUGCCAAAGUUGAAUAACAGAAUUUCUAAGUUCCUGGUCAUGGCUUCCAAUGGAGAAAAUCUUGCUCAGAAAAAACACGUAGCAGUGGUUCUGAUACCUUUCUCUGCACAAGGCCAUCUCAAUCAGCUUCUGCAUCUCUCAAACCUUAUCUCAUCACACAACAUACCAGUUCAUUAUGUUUCCACUGNNN